GACGAACGCUGGCGGCGUGCUUAACACAUGCAAGUCGAACGGAAAGGCCCUGCUUUUGUGGGGUGCUCGAGUGGCGAACGGGUGAGUAACACGUGAGUAACCUGCCCUUGACUUUGGGAUAACUUCAGGAAACUGGGGCUAAUACCGGAUAGGAGCUCCUGCUGCAUGGUGGGGGUUGGAAAGUUUCGGCGGUUGGGGAUGGACUCGCGGCUUAUCAGCUUGUUGGUGGGGUAGUGGCUUACCAAGGCUUUGACGGGUAGCCGGCCUGAGAGGGUGACCGGCCACAUUGGGACUGAGAUACGGCCCAGACUCCUACGGGAGGCAGCAGUGGGGAAUAUUGCACAAUGGGCGGAAGCCUGAUGCAGCAACGCCGUGUGCGGGAUGACGGCCUUCGGGUUGUAAACCGCUUUCGCCUGUGACGAAGCGUGAGGGACGGUAAUGGGUAAAGAAGCACCGGCUAACUACGU
rnacentral:rRNA from 1 species